GCCGAGGUGGCGGAACUGGCAGACGCGCUGGACUUAGAAUCCAGUAGGGUAACCUGUGCGGGUUCAAUUCCCGCCCUCGGCA
rnacentral:tRNA from 2 species